AGAUUGAACGCUGGCGGCAUGCCUUACACAUGCAAGUCGAACGGCAGCACGGGAGCAAUCCUGGUGGCGAGUGGCGAACGGGUGAGUAAUACAUCGGAACGUGCCCAAUCGUGGGGAUAACGCAGCGAAAGCUGUGCUAAUACCGCAUAAGAUCUACGGAUGAAAGCAGGGGAUCGCAAGACCUUGCGCGAAUGGAGCGGCCGAUGGCAGUAUUAGGUAGUUGGUAGAGGUAAGGCUCACCAAGCCUUGAUCUGUAGUCUGGUCUGAGAGGACGACCA
rnacentral:rRNA from 1 species